UUCGUGGAAAGGUAGGGCUCCUACCAUUGGACUCAGCUCAACCAGCGCCAAGUGAUCACUUCCAUUGUGCUUAGCACUCCUAGAAGCAGCGGAAGAAAUCAACGUGAAGAUGACCUAGGUCUUCCUGAAGCAAGGAUUCAAGGUAAAUUUUCUAUCGCAGCAGCAUCCCUGGGACACCACUCACGGCGCCCAGCAUGCCCUGGAGCAGCUCAGCUGUGCUCCGGUGCUGUGAGCUUCCGCGAGUUUUCCAGCCUGAAGCCCGGCAACCCCAGCCCGGCACGGGUCUGCUUGCUGGGGUCUGCUAUGCUUCCCCAUGGAGAGCAGGGAUGGAGGACGACCGUGCAACCUGGAGAGUCCUAUAGGGUUUGCAGCCAAAUCACACCAGACACUCUGGCUCUGGGACUCAGGAAAAUGAUGGAGUGUGUUGACUUGAGUUUUCU